rnacentral:rRNA from 1 species
CAGCAGGCGCGAAAACUCUACAAUGCAGGCAACUGCGAUAGGGGAACAUCGAGUGAUCCUCAUAUUGGGGGUCUGUCCACCCGUCUAAAAAACGGGUGUUAGCAAGGGCCGGGCAAGACCGGUGCCAGCCGCCGCGGUAAUACCGGCGGCUCGAGUGGUGGCCGAUAUUGUUGAGUCUAAAGGGUCCGUAGCCGGCUUUGCAAGUCUCUCGGGAAAUCCAGCGGCUUAACCGUUGGUCGUCCGGGGGGUACUACAUUGCUUGGGACUGGGAGAGGUAGGAGGUACUCAGGGGGUAGGAGUGAAAUCCUGUAAUCCUUUGGGGACCACCGGUGGCGAAGGCGUCCUACCAGAACAGGUCCGACGGUGAGGGACGAAAGCUAGGGGCACGAACCGGAUUAGAUACCCGGGUAGUCCUAGCCGUAAACGACGCUCGCUAGGUGUCACAACAGUCGUGAACUGUUGUGGUGCCGUAGGGAAGCCGUGAAGCGAGCCACUUGGGAAGUACGACCGCAAGGUUAAACUUAAAGGAAUUGGCGGGGGA